GGAAGUGCAGCGGCGUUGCCAUGGCGACCGUGGUACCUGGUGCCCCUCCUGCUCAACCAGGCUGGAUCCCUGCUCUUCUACCUCACCUUGGCCUCCACAGACCUGUCCCUGGCAGUGCCACUCUGCAACUCCCUGGCUUUGGUUGUGACCUUGGUGACUGGGAAGAU